rnacentral:rRNA from 1 species
AUUGAACGCUGGCGGCAGGCCUAACACAUGCAAGUCGAACGAGUGGCGGACGGGUGAGUAAUGUCUGGGAAACUGCCCGAUGGAGGGGGAUAACUACUGGAAACGGUAGCUAAUACCGCAUACCAUCGGAUGUGCCCAGAUGGGAUUAGCUAGUAGGUGGGGUAACGGCUCACCUAGGUGACGAUCCCUAGCUGGUCUGCGAGGAUGACCAGCCAAACAGGAACUUGGACACGGUCCAGAAUCCGACGUGAGGCAGCAGUGGGGAAUAUUGCACAAUGGGCGCAAGCCUGAUGCAGCCAUGCGGCGUGUAUGAAGAAGGCCUUCGGGUUGUAAAGUACUUUCAGCGAGGAGGCGUUACUCGCAGAAGAAGCACCGGCUAACUCCGUGCCAGCAGCCGCGGUAAUUC